CAGAAAAUUAAAAUAUGCAUAUAAGCAUUUUAUUUAGUUAUUUGAGUGCCUGAGCAACGCAUUUCUGUAAAAAAAAGCAGUAAUAAAUAUAAAAAAUUGAAAACAUAAUUGUAAUGAGAAAUUGAGAAUAACUCCGCCCUUAGACGAUUACGUCAUUGGUGCGCUGAUCAGAAACGAGCAGUCUCUCAUCACGGAGAGAAGUGAGAUGGCCUUUUGAUCAGAUAUGUGCAUAAAUCAGAGUUUAAAGAUCGAUAAAAGUGAGUAAAACACUGGAUUAAUUGUUAAAAUGCAUGGAUUGAAACACUGAUAACCCGAUUGUGUUGUUAAUCAAAUCUAAAAUGCGUUUGUAUUGACCUUAGAGAUAUAUUGAGACGUUGGGCUGAUCUAUCCAACGAAAAUACAGCUUAAAGCAGUAUUUCUAGAUACAUCGGGACUUUUUCUGAUCGUUAUUGAUUUGUUCUUGGUUGGGUUUUUUUUCUCUCCUUUUGUUUGUUUUUCUUCUAUCUUAUUGUUCCAUGAUCUGCUACAUAUCUCAUUGAGAUUUGACGAGGAUUUCCUUGGAUUCUGGAGUUUCAACUGUUUCUGCCAGUAAUGAGAAGUGUUUGAUAUUGGUAGAAACUGGCGAGCCAACCUGUUUAUUCGAACUUUGCACAUUUCGUGUUCAUCAAAGUGGUAGGAUUGCACACAUUAUUUCUCCUGGACAUUGCCAUACCGUGAACAGAAAACGGUCUUCCAUUUUUUUUGUCGUGGAGUUGCAUAUUUGCAUUAAGUUGACUGAACAUUGAACAAAUAGCACAAGGGACACUGAAUUGAGUCAAUCCUUUUAUUGGUUGUUGAACAUUUCUACAAUUUAUUGAAAAGAUAUUUUGAUUGCAUUGUUAUUGGAUAUAUAACUUACCUGAAGGUUAAUGUUCUAGUGUUUUAUUUUAUUUUUUUCUAUAUUGAGUUUUCUCUUUUCCUGAAAAGGAAAUAGAAGGUGGUUAAAAGAAACUGUGAACUUAAAACUGGUUGUAUUUCUGUCUGUGAAAGCAACAAGAGUGUUAAAGGGACACUACUACUUUUUUUGUGUUAAAGAAAUUUGAAGCUGGUAUUAUAUAUAAUAUAUAUUUGAAUAAUUGAAUAGCUUUAAAUCAUUUUGAGAAGUUUUUCCAAGACCAGAAGACUUUUUGUACAUUUUGAAGGUUUCAUUUGAAGCUGCUAUUUUGAGUUUAUUUUGUUGUUAUUGUUUAAUUUAUUUUCCUGCAAAGAAAAAAAAUUUGAAUACAAAAGAAAUACUUACCUUUUACUACAAA